AUACGGAGGGGGUUAGCGUUGUUCGGAAUUACUGGGCGUAAAGCGCACGUAGGCGGACUGGAAAGUUGGGGGUGAAAUCCCGGGGCUCAACCCCGGAACUGCCUCCAAAACUUCCAAUCUAGAGAUCGAGAGAGGUAAGUGGAAUUCCUAGUGUAGAGGUGAAAUUCGUAGAUAUUAGGAGGAACACCAGUGGCGAAGGCGGCUUACUGGCUCGAUACUGACGCUGAGGUGCGAAAGCGUGGGGAGCGAACAGGAUUAGAAACCCUAGUAGUCC
rnacentral:rRNA from 1 species